UGUCCUUGUUUUGAAGCUCUCUUCUCCUAGCAUUCCUGCUUUACCAUCCUACCGUCAGUUACAAGUCGACAAUGUCUUCUUUCUUCGUUUUCGAGAACGUGGAGAACGCCUACACUCCCCGGUAAGUCAAAGGCUCCUUGCGGCGGGCCUGAGCGAGACGGGGACUGAAGCGGGGCUGAGCGUACGAUUGCGAUGCGCGAGCCACUACUACUCGCUGAUGGCUUUGGGCUUGCCGACGAGUACCCAGACGCUCUCACAGCAUAUGGGACUUCCGGUAGAGGGCCCUGGGCGAAGAGGAUUGCCCUGAGUUGCUAGCCCCCUUACCUGUGCGCGACGACAUCCCGGGCCGCGGCAACGUUGACUGCUUGACUGCUGCACCGGCCAUACAACAGCUUGUCUCGAGGCGUCCUCGCUCAAAUGGCUUGCCUUGAGAUGUGCUGACGGCUGCCUCCUUGCCUGUGCUCUCCUUCGCGCAGGCCCUCUCCGACCACAUCCCCUGCCGGCAGCCGCCGCGCAUCCGCCGAUGGCAGUCCCUACGUUCACACAGUCUGGAAGUCAAGCGAGCAGCACACCGGUACCAUCAUCGGCGCCUGCCGGGA
rnacentral:lncRNA from 1 species